ACUGCGCCCUUCCACCCUGGAAAAGGCAGCCAUUCAUCAUGACCAGAAUUGACACAUACCCAGGGGACUAGUCAGUUCUCUAGAGAAACAGAACCAACAGGACAAAAAUGAGAUCUUGUCCAGGCUGGUCUCAAAAUCCUGGCCUCAAGCAAUCCUCUCACUUCGGACUCCCAAAGCAUUAGAAUUCCAGGGUGAGCCACCACACCCAGCCCAAGGGUUCACUCCUAUGAAGAUUUUCUCCUGCCUCUGCCCUCUCUGAGACAGCAAGACCGAUCCCACCUCUUCCUCCUCCUCCUCAGCCUACCCAACAUGAAGAUGAAAAUGAAGAUCCUGACGACCACUUCCACUUAACGAAUAGUCAUUCUCUUGAGGUUUUCGGUAGACAAUCAUCAUCAUCAUUUAAUCUCCUUUCCAUGUUUUGCUUUUUCUUGUCUUAUUACAUGGGCUAGAAGUCCUAGAGCAACAGUGAUACUCAUUGCUCUCCAUGACUACUCGUUUGCAGGUGAGGAAGCAAACAUGAAGAUAUUAUGGGCCCAAGGGACAGAGCCAAAAGAGAGACCCACACCCUCGUGGAGGGGAGACUGCAAUCAAUCAAGGAGGAAGAGCCUGAACGCUGUGUUGAUGGACUACCCUGUGGUGUUCCAUGGAAGCCCGGCUUGGUGCAAGGACACAUAAAGAGGAUUUAUCUUCACGGGACGGCACCGGCAAGGCAUUAGCACGUGGCGCCUCCGCGUCAGGCUCCUUAUUCUCUGCACCCGACUCUCCUGUCACUCAGAAUCUUAAAUUUAAGCUAAAAAGCUGGCGACCACCCCCAGCUUGUCCCUGCAGCUCUCCCUGCUACGCCAAUCCUGGAUCAGCCCUCCUGAGCCUCCAACCCCAAGACAGGGGUGAAUUAAGCUGCUCUGAGGAGAAGGCUGCUUGGGGGUCUCUGCUGGGACAGCAGCUGUGGCCACGACAGCCUCAAAGAUGGGCAAAAAGGGAGAGGGAGGGCUAUGUCUUCUCUGGGACCCUAGACUCUCUGGCCAUCCCCAAGCUGGCUGCCUUUGUCAACUUGGUGGGGAGGAGACAUACCAAGGGCCCAUGAGAAGGGAGGCAUUUGUCUGGAAAAUUUCAGCAAGGGUGUACUGCAUUUAGAUACCAAAAAGAUGGGCUCCAAGCUAAAAGCCUAACCCUGAUCCCAAAUGGUGGCUUUGCUGGAAUCCCCCAGAUCCCCAAACGACUCAGAGCUGCUGCCGCUGCUUCUGUGAGGGGCAGCAGAGAUGCUGGCCAGAGCAUGAGUCAGCUGCGGGUAAACCUUGCACCAUAUUGGGGGGGGCUGGAAUUAAGGACCAGAGACAAUUUGGGGUGGGAGGGAGCUCAGCUUCAGAACCACGGCUGCCCUGGCUGUACAGGGCAGGGGCCACAACAAAAUGCUCUUAGGUGUUCCUUAAGGAAGGAUGUUAGAUGCAAUUGAAGAUAAAAAUUAACUCUCUUUCUGGGGCUGGGGGAAAGGGUUGUAGCUGGCUUUUCGCCCAACUUCUUUCAUAUUCCUUAGCAGACACUUGUGCUUCUCU